CAAAUUGAUAAGCAGAUUCCGGAUAUCAUGGUAAGUGCUGCGUACAGUUUUUCAACUCCUAAGAAAUUAAUCUCUCAAUUCCCAGCAGAUGUAUCAAUUUUCUAAUUAGACAGCUCAAACAAUAGGUAACCGUUAUAAGAGCCAUAAACAAAAUAACAUCUUUGGCAAUUAUCACAUCAAUUAAACUAUUCUCACAAGGAAAUUUUUACAUCCAGAAAAAUUAAUAGAACCAUCAUUCAAAAUGACAAAAGAGAAGAAAAAUUGUGUAGCAAGAAAUGCAAAUUAAAAGAAAAGAAAAAGAAAUUAAAAAAAAAUUUUCAGUAUGCAAAAUUAAGCCACUUACCUCAGAUAAAUAAAAAAACCUUUCCAAAAACGGCUUGCACAUCAAGUUUUCUCUUAAAUCCUAGUGUACCCUGUCAUAUCCAUAACAACUGGGCCUAAAAAGCAUAAAAUAGAAGAAAGCAGUACUCCAUUCUGCAAUUCAAGCAGAAAAUUAGUCCUAAUUAAUUAGUAACAUUCUGCAUUUUUGCACAGAAAGAUCCACCUUGUUUGACUCUCACCAACUUCCCAUUAUAUUAUAUCUGUUGCACCCACAUGUUUGUCAGUGUACCUAUAGCUAGCUAGUUCCCCUAUAAGCCGCACAUGGGGUUUAAUAUGGACGGACCAUAAAUUGUUUUCUUUUAAUUACUUAAAAGUCUUUUAGAGCAAUUACGAGUUGGGAAUUGCACAUGAAUGUUUAAGACCAAUUGCUUCAAUACUUAGCUUUAUGAAUACUACAGCAUAAAUCUUUACUAGGCUGUUGGCCAAUUAUGAGGUGGGAGAAGCCUAGUGUUUAUCUAUCUCAUUUAUAUAUAUAUAUAUGAAAAAAGAAAAGAUGACAAGGCAUGGGACCCUAUUCUCUCUCACAAAAAGGGAAAAAAAAAUUUAAUGUAAUGUCAGUAAUGGCAAGGGCACUCAAGUGUUCU
rnacentral:misc_RNA from 1 species